rnacentral:lncRNA from 1 species
CGCGUCCUCGCAGGUCUCGAAAACACAAAGUUAACCAAGCCGUGUCCUCGCAGGCCUCAGGGGACCAUUAGUCUGCUUGAGCUGCAAUCCUUGCAGGCCUCGGAGAUACCAGAUCAACCGAGCCGCAAUCCUCGCACCACACAGUUUAGGCAUCCCAGAAACUUGUGGAGCAUUAUCAUAAAUAACAAACUGUCUUAAGACAACUUGG